CGUCGAUACUGCAAUUCCAAUUUUGACAUGUCAUCGCACACAGUCGCACACAUUUCUUACACGAUACGAAUACAUAUUAUAUUAUUAUUAUAUCGUGGAACGGCAUUGAAAUAGGUCAAGGAACUUAUAGUCCGCAAACAUCCGUCGAAGCCGAUGAAACUUUUACGUACUUGUAUAUAUUAUUUUAGUUUUGCGCAGCAGCAGAAGCUCGGUAAGCAAAAUGUGUGUGAUGUUUUUUUUAUUAAUAUUAUUACGUAUACGGUAUAUAUAUGUAUUAUUUGACGGGGAAUUAAAUUUCUUUUUUCGUCCGUACCUAUUACCAACGUCUCACCAGGUAAAAAUUUGACUCGAUCCGAUAUAAAGUAUUAUAAUAAUACUUAUAUAUGAUUUAAAUAACUCGCAAUAACGAUCGCAUCAUCCGAAAACCACGGACGAUGACGUUUUGAUAUUGAAUGCGACGUGAAAAUAAUGCGCAAAAUGUGUUAAAAAUAUUAUUAUACAGAUCUACUGCCCGUUGACUGCGUGGACAUAUAUGACAGUAUUGACAUAUGGAAGACAAUUUAUUAUGUUAUAUUGUUUUUUGUGCGGGGCAAUAAUACGUGUAAAAAUAACGUAUACCUACUAUAACUAUACGUAUGUACUUAGAUAAUAAUUACGAUUUUGUUUUCAUCCACAUUUCCGAUCGGUUUUCAUACCGUAGUUUAGUUAGUGAUAUGGUACUACCUCACAUACUGGAGUGCUCAUAUUUUAAAUAUUAAAUCAUUAUACAAGAUAAAUUUCUAUUUUAGUUAUUUUUUAUUUUUUUUUAUUUUUUAAGGGAUAAAUAAAACAUUUUUUAUUAAUUGUGUCUAAAAUUAUAGUGCGUUGAGAGAUUUCCAUUAGGUUCUUCCCUCCAAAUGAUUUACCAAUAAUAAACCUAUACAGUUACACGUUCGUAAAUUGCGCCUACAAUGAACAGAUAGGCAAUUAAAAAGACUAGGUACAGUCAAUAAUUGCACAUGGAAUUUUUCGAUUUCUAAAAUAGUUUGAGAAUUUCAAUAAUUUGAAAAAUGUGUGAAUAUUGAUGACAAAAAUUUGAAUCAAAGUCUGAAUGAAAACGUUCACACACGUUUGUCAUGUGUAUUCUGCUAGAAAAUUGUCACGCCCACAUUUUCCGUGGUUUGUCAGUGUAAAAAGUUAUUAUUCAAUUUGGAAAUAAACAUUAUUUUGUGUUGUUUUCUCCGAAAAAAUUAUGACAAUAUCGUGCAAAUAAUAAAUAUGGAGUACUGGACCUUUUCGAGUUGAACGCAUAAAACAUUUACCUGUGAAGCCAGUCUGCAUUCCACUACCCUCGUGUUGAAGUCAUUAGAUGCCGCUUUAUUCUUGACGGCUAAACUCUGAGCCACAACGAACUUGGCGUCGGCUGGAAGUCGGAACUGUUUGACCGCCAACGGAUUGAAGUCGAUACGGGCCGCAUAACCUAUAUACCGCAAAAUAACAAUUAACUACAAUAUUAAUAAUAAAGAAAUAACGAGACUUAUAAUAAUGGAGGUAAAAUUAUGUUUUCGUUCGGUUACCUUGUUUGGCGUUCACGGCUAUCGCUUGGUCCAUGCCACCGCCAGCCGUACCUAUAUAUCUUUCGCAUUUAGCGCUAAUUUCCGCCAGCUCGAGUCUACUGAUUGGUACCUAAAAACAACGACAUCGUAAGCGUUUUGCCUACACGAUACGCCGUCUUCAAAUAGCUACGAGUUUGUGAAUUUUGAUAUUUUUAUCACUACUGCAUAUCGAUAUUACGACAAAUACCUUAUUUUAUUCUUACAUAUAAUUAUUUUUAAAUAAAUUCAAGUGAAUAAUAGUUAAA